rnacentral:rRNA from 1 species
GCCGCGGUAAUACGUAGGUGGCAAGCGUUAUCCGGAAUUAUUGGGCGUAAAGCGCGCGCAGGUGGUUUCUUAAGUCUGAUGUGAAAGCCCACGGCUCAACCGUGGAGGGUCAUUGGAAACUGGGAGACUUGAGUGCAGAAGAGGAAAGUGGAAUUCCAUGUGUAGCGGUGAAAUGCGUAGAGAUAUGGAGGAACACCAGUGGCGAAGGCGACUUUCUGGUCUGUAACU